rnacentral:rRNA from 1 species
UACGUAGGCAGCAAGCGUUGUUCGGAGUUACUGGGCGUAAAGGGUGCGUAGGCGGUCCUAUAAGUAUGGUGUGAAAUCUCCCGGCUUAACUGGGAGGGUGCGCUAUAGACUGUGGGACUAGAGUGUGGGAGAGGAAAGUGGAAUUCCUGGUGUAGCGGUGAAAUGCGUAGAUAUCAGGAAGAACACCUGUGGCGAAAGCGGCUCACUGGACCAUAACUGACGCUGAUGCACGAAAGCUGGGGGAGCAAACAGG